rnacentral:lncRNA from 15 species
AAAUAUAAUACAGCAGUAAUAUUGAUCCAAACACAUCAGAUAUUGAACCGUGUUUGUGGAUCCGGACCGACCCGAGAGCCUCAGGACACACAGGAGGAAACACGCCGCUGCAGAGACCCACAACGGGCCGAGCUGCUGCGUAUUCAGAGCCGCUGGAGCGGACUGAGGCCCAGAGGUAAAAAUGGCCGCUGUGAAAAAGGACUAUACCAACAGAAAAACAACAACAUGGACANNNNNNNNNNNNNNNNNNNNNNNNNNNNNNNNNNNNNNNNNNNNNNNNNNNNNNNNNNNNNNNNNNNNNNNNNNNNNNNNNNNNNNNNNNNNNNNNNNNNAGGAGGAUUUUAAAUUCAAUUCUACAUUUUACAGGGAGCCAAUGCAGAGAAGCUAGUACAGGAGAGAUGUGAUCUCUUUUUCUAGUUCCUGUCAGUACUCGUGCUGCAGCGUUCUGAAUUAAUUGGAGCGUUUUAAUGGACUUAUUGGGGCAACCUGAUAAUAAAGAGUUGCAGUAAUCCAGCCUUGAAGUAACAAAUGCAUGGAUUAGUUUUUCUGCAUCUGUCUGUGAUAGUAUGUGUCUAAUUUUUCUAAUAUUACGUAAAUGAAAGAAGGCAGUCCUAGAGGUCUGCUUUAUGUGGGAGUUAAAUGACAAAUCCUGAUCAAAGAUAACUCCAAGAUUCCUGACAGUGGUGCUAGAGGCCAAGUUAAUGCCAUCUAGAGUGACUAUAUCUUUAGACAAUGAGUCUCUAAGGUUUUUGGGGCCAAGAACAAGAAUUUCGUUUUUUCUGAGUUUAACAUGAGAAAAUUGCAGCUCAUCCAGGAUUUUAUGUCCUUAAGACAUGUUUGUAAUUUAGAUAAUUGAUUAAUUUCAUCGGGCUUGAUUGAUAGAUAUAACUGCGUAUCAUCUGCAUAACAGUGAAAGUUAAUGGAGUGAUUCCUAAUAAUUUUGCCUAAAGGGAGAAUAUAUAAAGUAAAUAGUAUCGGUCCAAGUACAGAACCUUGUGGAACUCCAUGACUAACUGUAGUAUUUAUUGAAGAUUCAUCGUUAACAUGUACAAACUGCGAGCGAUCUCAUAAGUAUGACUUAAACCAGCUUAGUGCGGUUCUUUUAAUGCCCAAUUUGAUGCUCCAGUUCUCUGUAAAAGAAUAUUAUGGUCAAUGGUGUCAAAUGCAGCACUAAGAUCUAAUAAUACAAGUACAGAGACAAGUCCAUUGUCAGAAGCAAUCAGAAGGUCAUUAUUAACUUUAACCAGAGCUGUCUCUGUGCUGUGAUGAACUCUAAAUCCUGACUGAAAAUCCUCAAAUAAACUAUUGUUAUGUAGAAAGUCACACAACUCUUUGGCGACUACUUUCUCCAGAAUCUUAGAGAGGAAGGGGAGGUUAGAAAUCGGUCUAUAGUUGGCUAAAACCCCUGGGUCAAGAGUGGGCUUUUUAAGAAGGGGUUUAAUUACAGCUACUUUAAAGGACUGUGGUACAUAUCCUGAUAAUAAAGAAAGAUUUCAGAGGGACUAAAGUUGUUAUAGGACUCUGUUAAAUUCAGACAUGGCAUUGAAUUAAACACUGAAGGAACCUCCUCCUUAAAUUUAGCUACAGCACUGUCAGAUAGACAUCUGCUGUAGGAAGUUUUGCCUAAUGGCUUAUAAUCUAAUAAUAUAAAUUCAAAAGUUAUUAAAUAAUGGUCAGAUAGGAAAGGAUUAUGUGGGAAGACUAUUAAAUGUUCAAUAUCAAUGCCAUAUGAUAAAACAAGGUCAAGAGUGUGAUUAAAACAAUGAGUUGGUUUAUUUACACUCUGACAGAAGCCAAUUGAGUCUAUUAAUGAUAUAAAUGCGUUACUAAGGCUGUCACUGUCACUGAAUAUUAAAAUCACCUACAAUAAUUACUUUAUCUGAUUUAAGGACUAAACUUGAUAAAAACUCUGAGAAUUCAGAUAUAAAAUCAGAGUACGGUCCAGGAGCGCGGUACACUAUAACAAAUAGAACUGGCUGCAGUGUUUUCCAGUUUGGGUGAGAAAGACUAAGAACAAGCCUUUCAAAUGAAUUAUAAUUUAGUUUAGGUUUAGGGUCCAUUAAAACGCUCGAAUCAUAUAUAGCUGCUACUCCACCUCCUCGGCCUGUGCCUCGAGGAAUGUGAGUAUUAAUAUGACUGGGGGGGGGGGUGGAUUCAUUUAGGCUAACAUACUCCUCGUGGGACAACCAGGUCUCAGUAAGACAAAGUAAAUCAAUAUCAUAAUCUGAUAUUAAUUCAUUCACUAAAACAGCUUUAGAGGACAGAGACCUGAUAUUUAACAGUCCACAUUUCAUUCUCUUAUUUUGUACUACUGAGGAGUUAGUUUUAAUUUUUAUUAGAUUUUUAUGUUGAACUCCUCUUGUUUUUAUUUCUUUAAAUAGUUUAGGUGGUC